rnacentral:rRNA from 1 species
GACGAACGCUGGCGGCGUGCUUAACACAUGCAAGUCGAACGGUGAAGCUCCAGCUUGCUGGAGUGGAUCAGUGGCGAACGGGUGAGUAACACGUGAGCAACCUGCCCCUGACUCUGGAAUAAGCGCUGGAAACGGCGUCUAAUACUGGAUACGAGAAGGGUCCGCAUGGGCACUUUCUGAAAGGUUUUUCGGUUGGGGAUGGACUCGCGGCCUAUCAGCUUGUUGGUGGGGUAAUGGCUCACCAAGGCGACGACGGGUAGCCGGCCUGAGAGGGCGACCGGCCACACUGGGACUGAGACACGGCCCAGACUCCUACGGGAGGCAGCAGUGGGGAAUAUUGCACAAUGGGCGAAAGCCUGAUGCAGCGACGCCGCGUGAGGGAUGACGGCCUUCGGGUUGUAAACCGCUUUCAGCAGGGAAGAAGCGAAAGUGACGGUACCUGCAGAAGAAGCACCGGCUAACUACGUG